GAUGAACGCUGGCGGCGUGCCUAAUACAUGCAAGUCGAGCGAACGGACGAGAAGCUUGCUUCUCUGAUGUUAGCGGCGGACGGGUGAGUAACACGUGGAUAACCUACCUAUAAGACUGGGAUAACUUCGGGAAACCGUAGCUAAUACCAGAUAAUAUUUUGAACCGCAUGGUUCAAAAGUGAAAGACGGUCUUGCUGUCACUUAUAGAUGGAUCCGCGCUGCAUUAGCUAGUUGGUAAGGUAACGGCUUACCAAGGCAACGAUGCAUAGCCGACCUGAGAGGGUGAUCAGCCACACUGGAACUGAGACACGGUCCAGACUCCUACGGGAGGCAGCAGUAGGGAAUCUUCCGCAAUGGGCGAAAGCCUGACGGAGCAACGCCGCGUGAGUGAUGAAGGUCUUCGGAUCGUAAAACUCUGUUAUUAGGGAAGAACAUAUGUGGAAGUAACUGUGCACAUCUUGACGGUACCUAAUCAGAAAGCCACGGCUAACUACGUG
rnacentral:rRNA from 1 species